rnacentral:rRNA from 13 species
UGGGCGUAAAGCGCGCGUAGGUGGCUAAGUCAGCCAGGUGUGAAAGCCCCGGGCUCAACCUGGGAACGGCAUCUGGAACUGCUUGGCUAGAGUGCAGGAGAGGAAGGUAGAAUUCCCGGUGUAGCGGUGAAAUGCGUAGAGAUCGGGAGGAAUACCAGUGGCGAAGGCGGCCUUCUGGACUGACACUGACACUGAGGUGCGAAAGCGUGGGUAGCAAACAGGAUUAGAUACCCUGGUAGUCCACGCCGUAAACGAUGUCAACUAGCCGUUGG